rnacentral:rRNA from 1 species
UACGUAGGGUGCAAGCGUUGUCCGGAAUUAUUGGGCGUAAAGAGCUCGUAGGCGGUUCGUCGCGUCGGCUGUGAAAUCCCGAGGCUCAACCUCGGGUCUGCAGUCGAUACGGGCGGACUGGAGUUCGGCAGGGGAGACUGGAAUUCCUGGUGUAGCGGUGAAAUGCGCAGAUAUCAGGAGGAACACCGGUGGCGAAGGCGCUCAUCUGGCCCAAUACUGACGCUGAGACGCGAAAGCGUGGGGAGCAAACAGG